UACGGAGGUGGCAAGCGUUGCUCGGAAUCACUGGGCGUAAAGGGCGCGUAGGCGGGGAGGUAAGUCGGGUGUGAAAUCCCUCGGCUCAACCGAGGAACUGCGCCCGAGACUGCUUCUCUUGAGUCCCGGAGAGGAAGGUGGAAUUCCCGGUGUAGCGGUGAAAUGUGUAGAGAUCGGGAGGAACACCGGUGGCGAAGGCGGCAUCCUGGACCGGUAUUGACGCUGAGGCGCGAAAGCCAGGGGAGCAAACGGG
rnacentral:rRNA from 1 species